rnacentral:rRNA from 1 species
UAAUCUACUGGAUAGUAACCAGUUACUUGGAUAACUGCGGAAAUUCUGGAGCUAAUACAUGCACAAAGCCCCGAACUUACGUGAGGGGCGCUUUUAUUAGAUCAAAACCAAACGGCUUCGGCUGUACUCUUGGUGACUCUGAAUAACUUUGGGCUGAUCGUACGGCCUAGCGCCGACGACAUAUCCUUCGAAGGUGUGCCCUAUCAACUGUCGACUGUGGCAUAGACGCCCACAGUGGUUUUGACGGGUAACGGGGAAUCAGGGUUCGAUUCCGGAGAGGGAGCCUUAAAAACGGCUACCACAUCUAAGGAAGGCAGCAGGCACGCAAAUUACCCAAUGACCGAAGGUCGAGGUAGUGACAAAAAAUAACGAUACGGGACUCAUCUGAGGCCCCGUAAUCGGAAUGAGUACACUUUAAAACCGUCCCCGAGGAUCUAUU